GUAUUUUCCAUGUUGGUAUAAAUCAAAUAUAGAGUAUUUUAACAAAGACACACCUAAACAAAUUUCGUUCCGCGCUUGUUAUUAAAACUUUAAACAUUUUGCAACUCUCUGGAGGGAGAUCGAAAAAAUCUGUUCUCCGGGUACUGUUAAAAAAUUCUGAACUUUUGGGCUGGGUGAUGUGGCACACCUACACACCAGCAUAUACACGUACACCGAGGGGCACAACAAUAAGCCAGGAAUGCAGCAUGACGAUGAGCAAUUUACCAAAGCCAAAUACUCAGAGACGAAACAAACACGGGAUGAAAAAAAAAAAAAUGGGACGGCGUAUGGAGGAAAAGAUUCAAAUCGAGAACGUGCCCCAAACGAAGAAGAAGUGCCCCAGUCAAGACGAUUAUGUACGUAUAAAUAGGUAUACUUUCGGUUGCGCUGUAAGAACAACAAA